rnacentral:misc_RNA from 1 species
GAGGAGGGAAAGCGGCGAGUAAGAUGGAAGAUGAGGAGGUCGCUGAGAGCUGGGAAGAGGCGGCAGACAGCGGGGGCUGGUGUGAGCAGAAAAUGAAUGUCUGGGGAAGAAUGUUGACAGCCAUAAUACAUUAUAUCGAUAUAAGGAAAUAGACAGACGGUUGGAAAAAAAACUGAAGAUCACACAAAAAGAGAGGAAAUCCAAAUCUCCUCCCAAAGUGCCCAUUGUGAUUCAGGACGAUAGCCUUCCCGCGGGGCCCCCUCCACAGAUCCGCAUCCUCAAGAGGCCCACCAGCAACGGUGUGGUCAGCAGCCCCAACUCCACCAGCAGGCCCACCCUUCCAGUCAAGUCCCUAGCACAGCGAGAGGCCGAGUACGCCGAGGCCCGGAAGCGGAUCCUGGGCAGCGCCAGCCCCGAGGAGGAGCAGGAGAAACCCAUCCUCGACAGGCCAACCAGGAUCUCCCAACCCGAAGACAGCAGGCAGCCCAAUAAUGUGAUCAGACAGCCUUUGGGUCCUGAUGGGUCUCAAGGCUUCAAACAGCGCAGAUA